CCACAGGAAUGUUGGACAUAUUUGUCUGUGGUUUUAUUAUCUUCAAAUUGGUUUAUUUUUGGGAUAUGCCUCAGUGGAUUUGCUCUGGCAAUUUCUUAGGCGUUAGAUAAUAGCUAUAGCCACACGAUGAGUACACUUUGAGUACAUUUUCAUGUGUAAUCUGUGAGUUAUGAAUGAGUGUGUUGAUUCUACACGGUUUUAAAUGCAUUUCAUUCGUUACGAAUAGGUUUCCUAGACUUGUUGGGCUGGACAGUGUAAUUACAGGCCAACCUUCUACACAUCAUUAGUCAAAAAUAAUGAAAAAUGAAACGAAAAACAAAAAAAAAAACGUAGACCAGAAACGUGCAAGUCCAGCAAUGCACGUAGACGCCAUCAAACUGAAGCAAAGCGUCGAGCGACGCACGUGUAGAUCAGGCGUCAGCCUUGUCGAGACCCCCAGAUCCACCAUAAUCAUAGCCAUUUCCAUUUUCCAUUUAAUUUUCGUUCCGUUUCGAUCGAUCAAAAUAUAUUUAUAAAGGGCGAAGCGGCGACCUUCUCUUAAUUGCGGUUGCACGCGGCACUGCUCCAGUGCGAUUGAACAGUCUGGCUUUAUCUGUGGCUUUAGCUGUGGGCUUCCCUCUUGUGUGCUUCACUCUGGGGGGAUGGACGGCUCUGGCGCUGGCACUGGCACUGCGUCACCCUCCCACUUCCGCCUGGCGUGCGCACAGCCCCAAAGGUAACCUUGUGAUCUUGUUUACUGUUUAGCGACCCCACCAUCAGCACACCGCCGUCGCCGCCGCCACCGCCACCGACACCGCCAACACCACAGCAGAUAAAACCGAAACAUUACGGACGGAACCUGUCGUGUC
rnacentral:lncRNA from 1 species